rnacentral:other from 1 species
UGCACCCUGCGGUGUUCGUGUUGUUCAUUACCACGCUCUCGGCCCUAUAUUUCUCCUUCGGGAGUCGGAACCGGCGGUUGAUGUCAGGCCGUUCAUCGGAAGACAGAGACCGUCGGGAGAUUCCCACUUGAACUUAAAUCGGACUAGAGCCUUAUGAAUUCACGGCACAGGCGGGGUGUAU